rnacentral:lncRNA from 1 species
UUUUUGAUGUGGCUACUAGAAAAUGUGAAUGCUAUUUGUGGCUCACGUUGUGUUUCCAUCAGGGCAGCCCCGGCCUAGAUCUGGAAUCAGCAGCUUCCUGGGCUCUGUGGGAGAUCUUCAAGUGACUCACUCUUCUCAUUCCUGUUUUCUUCUCCAAAGAACUAAAAUGCGUCUCCUCGCUGGGUGUAUUUAUUAGGGGACCCACUCUGGGCACUCCUCACUGGAGCCUACUGGAUUUAGGAUGUAGUUUCCCAGGUCCUCCCGCUAAGGGGGACCCGUAGACCACAACUGAGAGGAGACACAGGCCUUCUAGGAGCCUUGAGGUUCAGAAGUGGAGGCAGGGGACAUGCUGUCAAGGCACAAGCCUGGAACGGUCCCGCUGGAAAGAGGUUUGCUGAGUAGCAGCCACCUCGCCUUGACUGCUGUCUCCACCCUGUCUGCUUCUCGAGCUUUACUUUGAGUACGGUCAGUGCUUCCAGUUAGAGAAGCAUUUGGGGUAAUAGCAUCCAUGCUAUUGAAAAGAAGGGAUGAGGCCUCUGCGCGAGUAGGGCUUAUCAAAAGGCAUGUGAUGAGGGGCAGCACUUUGGAGCUACCUGGCUAGCCUGACCGCAUCGUAUCGACGUUCCUGUAUUGUGACUGCUGAAUGAGCUCUGAUGGCCAUCAACUUCACUGGGCCUCGGUUUCCCUCGCUGCCACAGGGAGGGUCCUGACCUUCAAGGUCACUGUCAGGCUCUCACGCCUGCACAGGGCAUAACACAGUCAGUGUGAGCUGCAGUGGUCCAUGUGGAGACCCAGCCACCUCGUCCCGUCUCCUGUGUUGUGCCCCUGCCACAUUCUCACUGCGAAGGAAGCUUUUUGAUCUAGGCUUCAAUUCUUGGUCCCAGCUGACCAUAAGCUCCAG